CCUACGGGAGGCAGCAGUGAGGAAUAUUGGUCAAUGGUCGGGAGCCUGAACCAGCCAAGCCGCGUGAGGGAUGAAGGUCCAGCGUAUCGUAAACCUCUUUUGUCAGGGAACAAAGGCGGGGACGUGUCCCCGGAUGAGUGUACCUGAAGAACAAGCAUCGGCUAACUCCGUGCCAGCAGCCGCGGUAAUACGGAGGAUGCGAGCGUUAUCCGGAUUUAUUGGGUUUAAAGGGUGCGCAGGCGGCGUGUCAAGUCAGCGGUAAAAUGUCGGGGCUCAACCCCGGCCGGCCGUUGAAACUGGCGUGCGCGAGUGGGAGAGAAGUAUGCGGAAUUCGUGGUGUAGCGGUGAAAUGCAUAGAUAUCACGAAGAACCCCGAUUGCGAAGGCAGCAUACCGGCUCCAAACUGACGCUGAGGCACGAAAGCGUGGGUAUCGAACAGGAUUAGAUACCCCAGUAGUC
rnacentral:rRNA from 1 species